AUUGAACGCUGGCGGCAGGCCUAACACAUGCAAGUCGAACGAGUGGCGGACGGGUGAGUAAUGUAUGGGAAACUGCCAGAUGGAGGGGGAAAACUACUGGAAACGGUAGCAAAUACCGCAUACCAUCGGAUGUGCCCAGAUGGAAGUAGCUAGCAGGAGGGGUAAAGGCUCACCUAGGCGAAGAUCCAUAGCUGGUCUGAGAGGAUGACCAGCCACCCUGGUACUGAGCCCCGGGCCAGACUCCUACGGUAGGCAGCAGUGGGGAAUAUUGCGCAAUGUGCGCAAGCCUGAUACAGCCAUGCCGCGUGUAUGAAGAAGGCCUUCGGGUUGUAAAGUUCUUUCAGCGAGGAGGCGUUACUCGCAGACGAAGCACCGGCUAACUCCGUGCCAGCAGCCGCGGUAAUUC
rnacentral:rRNA from 1 species